UUUACAAACCAGAGCAUCGUUCGAUCAGUGAAAAUAUGUAAUUAUAUAUUUUAUAUUGACAAUAUUACAGAAAAUUUUGGAAGAUAAGGUUUCUGUAUUUCAGGCAUUCAUGUGGGCGGGAAACUAAUGAAGGACAGAUUGACAUAUGUCAGUCUGUUUCUUCAUUAGUAUAAUUAAUGAUAAUAUAAAUAUAUUCUAAACUUAAUUUCUUCUCUCUGUUCUUUUCUUUUAAUGGAUUAUAAUACCCAAACCCUUAUUUUGCAAAAUAGAAAACCAUUGUUUAAGACCCGAACAACAACCGCAUUUGCUUUCUUCCUGAAAUUGAAUUUGUUCAAGACAAUACUUCCUUCUUCCCAUGCCUUCGACCGAAUGCGGCCAUGGAAACAAGUCUUUGAACCCUUCGAAUCCAAUAAUCCGAAACACAACAGCAUUAAUGGUUGCCUCUUCAAUGUUCACCUUCUUCCUCUGAUUUCUUCUUCUUCGAAUUCUUUUUUUUCUCUGAUUCUUUCUCUGAUUUCUUUCUUUGAUUCCUUCCUCUAAUUCUUUCGCAUUCUCCCUCUGAAUCCUUGAUUCUGAUUUUUCGCAAGAACGAACAGCCUAUUCCCCAUUGUUGGUCUUAAGUUUUGAUCCUUUCUUGAGUAUUCGAAGGAACAAACAAACAUGGCUCUUCUUUAGUAUGUCUGAUAUCUUGAACAAACAAACCCUCAUCGUUCCCUUGAACCCGCCGAGGAAGGGGCAGCAGCCACAACCUUCGAUUCCUUGUCCUUUUCCGGGAACAAAUACAUCACAGCCACCUUGUUAUCUUCUCCUCUGGGUUUUGGUUCUACAGCCCUCACUCUCCUCUUCAAAUUUUGUUGCUCGUGACCCAAAUUAUUCCGAGUUAAGGUGAAGCAGCAAGGCUCAUGGUUUCCUAUUCAUUUCAUUGCUUUGGCCGCCGGUUCUUUUGGGUUGUUGGAGGAAGCAUCAUCUGUUGAUGGCAAACUUUAUCAACCUAGUGACGUUCACGAUUGGUAAUCGAGUACGUAUGUCGAGCUUGUCUACAGAUCGGGACCAGUCGGGAAUAAUGGAUUAGCAGAGAUGAAUAGAGAUUCCAAGGAUGUAAAUUGAGCUGAGCACUUAGGAAUUAUAGAUUUGUACUAGGAAUUUUGGAUAAAUGUAUAUUUGUUUUGGCUGUGCUGGUUAUAUCGGACUUGUAGAGAAUUGUAUGAUUAUCUUGUGUAUUAGUUAGAUGUUGUUUUUGGGAUUUAGCUGAGUUAGUCACGUUGAAGAGCUUGUGACCCCUUUGCUUAAGUUUUGGAAGUGUGAUUUCAGUUUCUUGGGAAACAAACCCAGUGAUGACCCUGGUUACCAAGUCAACGGUAAGUCGGGUUGUUACAGUUACCGCGUGGAUUUUCGAAAAGUUUUGAUUGGUUUCCACGUGAAAAACCCAAAAUCUCAGGGGUACCAUGUGAAAUUUCUCAAUCUGUUUUCAACAACUCCACUGAUACGGUCAUUAAAUAAUACUAAACAAAAGAUAAUUACAUGGAAUAAUACUAUAAUUAGAAAAGGAGCAUUAGGAACAUAUCACUAUUGACAAUCUGUCUCCACAACAGUUACUAUAGAACCUUCAGUCGUUUUGAAAUAUACAUCACUUUCCCCGUGGUGAAUCUUGAUUUCUAGCAAGAAAACUAGAAGAAUAGACAAAAUAGCAAUGCAAAUCAGUGGCAUAGACCUAUCGAGUUUCACGUUGAUGAUAAGGUCUUUCUUCGUGUUUCACCAACUAUAG